GAUGAAGAACGUAGCGAAAUGCGAUAAGUAGUGUGAAUUGCAGAAUUCAGUGAAUCAUCGAAUCUUUGAACGCACAUUGCGCCCUUUGGUAUUCCUUAGGGCAUGCCUGUUCGAGCGUCAUUGAAACCUCAAGCUCAGCUUGGUGUUGGGUGUCUGUCCCCGCCUCACCGCGGGGACUCGCCUCAAAAUCAUUGGCGGCCGGUACGUUGGCUUCGAGCGCAGCAGAAACGCGAACUCGAGGCCCGGCGGAUCGGCGACCAGAAGUCACUUCUUCACAGUUUGACCUCGGAUCAGGUAGGGAUACCCGCUGAACUUAAGCAUAUCAAUAAGCGGAGGA
rnacentral:misc_RNA from 1 species